CUUAGAUCUAAUAAAGUUCAUGCUUCUUACGUUUACCUAUCAAUGGACUAUUAUACCUCUGUGACACCUGGACAGCCACCACAACAAUCAAGAUAUAGAACAUCUUUUGCCUUGGGAGGAUGGGAUUGGCUGGGUGUAAGGGGAUGCCUUCCUACAGAAGUUUCUUCUGAGCAGAGACCUCGAUGAGAGACACGUUGGCCGUAGGAUGAUAAGGAGGUGGAGUUCCCAUGAGGAGCCCGCUCACACCCUGCACUGGGGCUACGUGCUACGCCGAGCAGUAUCUAAAGCUCAUCACUACACCUGCAGAGACCUGUCGUGGUGCCACCUGUGGGCAUCAGCUCCCUCUGCUUCCCUGUCAACUCCAAAUCCACGCCAAAGCAGAAAACAGCCAGAGAGGUAGAGGGCUGCGAAUUGCUACAGAGAGAAAUUCAGCUAGGGCCCAGUCCAGAGCAGGACAUCAGCUGGGCUAAGAAGAUGAUUGUGGGCUCCAGUGGUGACACCUUCUCUCCUUCUGCAAACUUGAGAACCACGUCAGAGGGCCACAGGGAGCCUGGAUUCACUGUGCUAGGAGAAGGCGUGGUGGGGAGGCUGCUGAUCUGAAAACUAC
rnacentral:lncRNA from 1 species